ACGUAGGAGGCGAGCGUUAUCCGGAUUUACUGGGCGUAAAGCGCGUGCAGGCGGUUCGGCGAGUUGGAUGUGAAAGCUCCUGGCUUAACUGGGAGAGGUCGUUCAAUACUGCCGGGCUCGAGAGUGGGAGAGGGAGGUGGAAUUCCGGGUGUAGCGGUGAGAUGCGUAGAUAUGCGGAGGGACACCAGUGGCGAAGGGGACCUAGUGGGCUAUAACUGCCACGGAGACAGAAGAGGGGGGGAAGCAAACGG
rnacentral:rRNA from 1 species